rnacentral:lncRNA from 1 species
UUCAUGUUUAAUGAUGCUAACUAAAGAGUUUUAGAAGAUACUUUUUGGGAAUGUGUGAAACGCGGUAUUGUUUGAUUAAUUAUUUUAGUUCAUGUUUCUUAAAAUGUUCACUGUUCUGUAAUUAUGUUUGAGAUAGAUUUAGUGGAUGUGUCAAGAAUCAUGUGCAGAGGAAGGAGGAAGAAGAAGAAUACAUGUAGUAUAAGACAGUUUGUGUUCAACGGUUAACAAAAGAAACAUGAGAGCAUAAUUGGUUCGGUUGAUCAUGGUUUUACCUAUCUAGUUUUACCAGUGACCCGGGUUUCAUCCUCGUAUUAUGCAUUUUUCUGUAAAAAAUAAAUUGCUCAAAACUAC